rfam:Ictidomys tridecemlineatus contig047331, whole genome shotgun sequence.
GGGAUUGUAGCUCAGUGGUAGAGCACUUGCUUCGCAUGCGUGAGACUCUGGGUUCGGUCCCCAGCACCA